rnacentral:tRNA from 1 species
GGGACUAUAGUUAAUAAUAACAUUUGAGUUGCAUUCAAAAAGUACUACCCACUAGUAGUUAGCCUCA